ensembl:snRNA U6 U6 spliceosomal RNA
GUGAUGCUUCAGGGCACAAAUACUAAAAUAGGAACAAUACAGACAAGAUUGGCAUGGUCCCUGCACAAGAAUGACACACGAAUUCAUGAAGCACUCCAUAUUUUU